GAGUGCCCCGUGCUCCCCUGCCCCACAGACCCAUCAGCGACCCCCCUGCCGCUCCCAGCACAUCUCACUGCUCUGCCUUUUCUCCAACAUAGCCUCUCCUCCCAGCCUACAUCCUUACCGGGAAGUCUUCUCCUCCUCCUUGCCAUCCUCCUCUGGCCGCCAGACCCGGCCCAUCCUGAAGGAGCAGGACUUGCCCAGCUUCUGCCGGGUCCAGAGCUCCAAGCCCUGAGCAGCUUCUCCCAGAGCCUCCUGCCCUCCCCGACUGCUGGCCUCACCUCCCGAAGGCCUGCAUCAGGCCCCUGCUCUCCCACCGUGGCUCCCAGCCGUCUUCCCUCCCUCUCCGCUGGAGGCAGGCUAAUAAAGCUGACUGGUUGAUGCAACAAA